UUGGAGGGCAAGUCUGGUGCCAGCAGCCGCGGUAAUUCCAGCUCCAAUAGCGUAUAUUAAAGUUGUUGCAGUUAAAAAGCUCGUAGUUGAAUUUCGGGAUCAGAGUGUCGGUCGUGCCUCGGUACGCACUGGUAUUAUUGGUUCCUACCUUCUGAAGAACCGCGAUGUCAUUAAUUUGGUGUCGUGGGGAAUCAGGACUGUUACUUUGAAAAAAUUAGAGUGUUUAAAGCAGGCUUACGCUUGAAUACAUUAGCAUGGAAUAAUGAAAUAGGACGUUUGAUUCUAUUUUGUUGGUUUCUAGGAUUGACGUAAUGAUUAAUAGGGAUAGUUGGGGGCAUUAGUAUUCAAUUGUCAGAGGUGAAAUUCUUGGAUUUAUUGAAGACUAACUACUGCGAAAGCAUUUGCCAAGGAUGUUUUCAUUAAUCAAGAACGAAAGUUAGGGGAUCGAAGACGAUCAGAUAUCGUCGUAGUCUUAACCAUAAACUAUGCCGACUAGGGAUCGGAUGAUGUUAAUUUUUUAAUGACUCAUUCGGCGCCUUACGGAAAC
rnacentral:rRNA from 1 species